ensembl:lncRNA
CCGGCCGUCGCCUUCGCCCGGUAAAGGUGCGCCCCGCGCGGAGCCCCGGGACGCGCUGCAGCGGCGUUAGCGAAAGCAUCUGCUCGGCCCGGCCCCCGCCCCCCGCCGUUCCCGGCCGCUUUCCGCCGCGGCUCCGCUCUCCGCCCCCGGAGCCGCGGGUGCCCGGGGCGCGUCUCGCACCCCCGGAGCGGUGCCCCCGUCGGGAUGCGGGGCUGAUUGCCGCCCCACUGUCCGCCCGGCACCGCGCGGCGCCGCUCCUCCGUUUGGUUCGGUUCGUUUCGUUUUCCCCGUUCCGUUCGGGGGGUGCGCGGGGCCGAAAAAGGGGCACAUUUCAAAAAGGAGAAAUAAUAAUAAUGACGAUGAUUAAAAAAAUGCAGAUCAUUUUAAAUCUAACGCGGAAACAAAACGCCCUUUUCAGGCGAGUAUGAAUUUCGCUGGCACCGCUCCCGCCCGGUUCGGUGUCCCCGCUGUCCCCACGGCCGCUCCUCGUUCCCCGCACGGACACCCCCGGGCGCAGCGGUGGGAGCACUCCCGGCGGCUCUCUCCUUUCGCCCGCUCUGCCCUUUCCCCCCUCGCAAGCUGUGAGCACGGCCGGGCCCGGCGCGCUGCAGCAGUUCGCUUUCACCCUUCCCGCGGCCGCCGCGAGUUGCGGGGCCUCCGUCGGUACCACGGAGCGCUGCGGGGCUGGGAGGGCCCUUCGCCCCGAGAGCGAUUUCUAAGGGCGGGCGGUGCGCUGCCCCCAACCGGGUCCGGGGAUGCGGGGGUCCGUUGGGCUCCCCUCGGCCCCGCACGGCCCGCUGCGCCUCUCCAGCAACUUUCCCCGCAGUGAGAGGGCGCGGGGUCGGGGCGCCGCCUGAACAAAGGUCUGCGGGGCGACGUCCCGAGCGAACAGCGCGGUGCGGCGGUGCUCCCACCCGUGGCACAGCCCUGCGCUCCCCACGGCCGGACGGGACGCCGCGCCGCGUCGGUGCCGACGAGCGCCGAAAAGAGCUCGGAGUUGCGGAGCGGUGCCCCGCAUCGCUGUGCCGCUCGCGGUGCGAUGCGGGGGUACGCACGGCCCCGCCCCCCUCCCCAUCCCCAACCCGGACGAACCCCGCCGGGGUUCUCUGCACGUCGGUAAAUGUCGUCGCUUACAUCCAAAGCUCUCGAUUUGUUUAUGGGAAAAUACAGUUAAUAAAUAAUUACAACUCCGACGGUGUGCGCGUCUGAGUGAGGGCUGCCGCCGGGCCGCGG